rnacentral:rRNA from 1 species
GCAAGUCGAGCGGACAGAAGGGAGCUUGCUCCCGGAUGUUAGCGGCGGACGGGUGAGUAACACGUGGGUAACCUGCCUGUAAGACUGGGAUAACUCCGGGAAACCGGAGCUAAUACCGGAUAGUUCCUUGAACCGCAUGGUUCAAGGAUGAAAGACGGUUUCGGCUGUCACUUACAGAUGGACCCGCGGCGCAUUAGCUAGUUGGUGAGGUAACGGCUCACCAAGGCGACGAUGCGUAGCCGACCUGAGAGGGUGAUCGGCCACACUGGGACUGAGACACGGCCCAGACUCCUACGGGAGGCAGCAGUAGGGAAUCUUCCGCAAUGGACGAAAGUCUGACGGAGCAACGCCGCGUGAGUGAUGAAGGUUUUCGGAUCGUAAAGCUCUGUUGUUAGGGAAGAACAAGUGCAAGAGUAACUGCUUGCACCUUGACGGUACCUAACCAAAAAGCCACGGCUAACUACGUGCCAGCAGCCGCGGUAAUACGUAGGUGGCAAGCGUUGUCCGGAAUUAUUGGGCUUAAAGGGCUCGCAGGCGGUUUCUUAAGUCUGAUGUGAAAGCCCCCGGCUCACCCGGGGAGGGUCAUUGGAAACUGGGAAACUUGAGUGCAGAAGAGGAGAGUGAAUUUCCACGUGUAGCGCUGAAAUGCGUAGAGACGCGCAGGAACACCAGUGUCGAAGGCGACUCUGUGGACUGUAAGUGACUCUGAUGAGCGAAAGCGUGGGGAGCGACCACUCAUUAAGAGUACCCUG